rnacentral:rRNA from 1 species
GAUGAACGCUGGCGGCGUGCCUAAUACAUGCAAGUCGAGCGGUAAGGCCCCUUCGGGGGUACGACGAGCGGCGGACGGCUGAGUAACACGUAGGAACGUACCCCAAACUAGAGGCAUAAGCACCGGAAACGGUGUCUAAUACCGCACGUGGUCUUCGGAUUAAAGCUUCGGCGGUUUGGGAACGGCCUGCGCAUGAUUAGCUUGUUGGUGAGGUAAUAGCUCACCAAGGCGACGAUCANAGUCUGGUCUGAGAGGAUGAUCAGCCAGACUGGGACGUGAGAACGGCCCACGACUCCUACGGGAGGGCAGCAGUAGGGAAUUCUCCACAAUGGGCGAAAGCCUGAUGGAGCAACGCCGCGUGCAGGAUGAAUGCC